UGAGCUUAAGUACUGAACUGCACCCAGGUA
rnacentral:piRNA from 1 species